UACGAGGGGGGCAAGCGUUGUUCGGAAUUAUUGGGCGUAAAGGGUGCGUAGGCGGUUUUGUAAGUCUUGUGUGAAAUCUUCAGGCUCAACUUGAAGACUGCACGAGAAACUGCAGGGCUUGAGUGUGGGAGAGGUGAGUGGAAUUCCCAGUGUAGCGGUGAAAUGCGUAGAUAUUGGGAGGAACACCAGUGGCGAAGGCGGCUCACUGGACCGGUACUGACGCUGAAGCGCGAAAGCGUGGGGAGCAAACGGG
rnacentral:rRNA from 1 species